AGGUUUAUCAAUCUCUGGAUCGGCAGCGAACUGACUAGGGAUUUCCAUCUAAUCUAAUGGAUUAGUCCUAACAUGAAGCAUUGAUUGCAUAUGAAGGCAACUUGUUGUAAAUAUCAAUGGUAUGAAUAAGUGUAGAUCACAUCCACAGAUAUAUAUGAUAUAACACCACCAAGGGUAGCAAGAGCCUAUCAUCUUCUAGUUGUAAUUCUAGCCAACGAGCAUCACAUCAUGCAUCUCAUCCAAAGCAAUUUUUAAAUUACUACUACCUACGGUCAACCUCACGAAAAUCC
rnacentral:lncRNA from 1 species